ACCACCCCCACCACCAUGACCCUUACCAUCACACCCACCACCACGGGGGGCAUCCGCCUCACCCGCUCACCUCCCUGUCAGGGACCCAGACCAGGGGCCCCACCGAUCCCCACCCAGGGCCCCCUGCUGCCCCACCAGUACCUGCCACCACACCACUUCUUCAGCAGUUCUCAUCUUGGUCCCUCUGGUAACUAUGGAAUCUUUUCCAGUAGAAGCAUCAAGAGACGGUCCUCCUCACACUAUGAGUUGGAUCUCAGUGAUGCGGGCCCUCCUCAGAAGCUGGCGAGGCGUGUGUUCACCAACAGCCGGGAGCGUUGGCGCCAGCAGAACGUCAACGGGGCCUUCUCAGACCUCCGUAGGCUCAUCCCCACCACCCUCCGGACAAGAAGCUCUCCAAGAAUGAGAUCCUCCGACUGGCCAUGAAGUACAAUCGACUUCCUUGUCACCCUGCUCAACGACCAGUCCCAAGACAAAGCCAGGGGCUCGCCUGAGGAGGAGACCCAGGAUGAGAGGGCCCAAGUGGGGCUGAACAACAAGGAUAUGCACCCACUUUUCCAGGGUGACACUCCCUCUUCAACUAUGGUCUACCACGACAGAGGAGACUCCACAGACUCAUCGACCAUCGCCUUGGCAACCUCCCCGACCUCCAGUUGCUAUAGCAACACAGACAGUGAGGAGAACCUGGGGGGCGGGGCUAAGAGCUCAAUGGUGGUGCCGCGGGGCAUUCCGGGAAAGGUCAAAGGUCAGAUUCGGACUGCGGUGACACUUGCCAACGACCAGCGGUGACAUGACAUGUGACGUCACAAAGAGGACAAAAUUGAAUACCUUGUAGCAAAUAAUAUCCGACAAACUGGCAGAAAGGACAAAAAUGUACAGUAUACUUACUACUCUACCAGCAAUCUAUGAGACUUUUGGAAUCGAUGUAGUUCUUUCAAUGACAUGGUAUAUCUGCAAGGUCAGUUCUGAGUUCUUGUAGCAGUUUGUGGUAGUGUUUGACUGCCCCUCUGUCUGGAUUUUGUGUCCUGCAGUGUGGGACUGAGGCUUUCUGGGGAACGUAAGCUGUUUCAUCCGAACUGAGGCUUCUAUAGGGCUACCUGGGAAAUGUAGGCUUGACUGUUUGUACAUCCAGUCAGCACAGUGUCAGUUGCCCUAAAACCUCUGAAGGAGCCAUGUUGACCUCAUGGCUUUGCUUCCUGAAGUUUGAGACAUCAAAAAACAUCAAUGACGGUAACCUUCAGCCAGUAGUUUAUGUGGCAAUUUUUUAAGUUUCCUAUUUUCUUUCUUUAGUCAGAUGAAGAAGAUGGUCCCACCCUCCCUCCCUUAGAGGACAACAUUGUGACACAGUUGUCCCAAAUGGCACCCUAUUUCCUGUUUAGUGCACUACUGGUCAAAAGUAGUGCACUAGGUAGGGAAUAGGGUGCCAUACGGGACAUUGACCGUGCUAGCUGACCGAAAUAAAGAGUGUUUUAGUUCUCUCUUCCUUAUUCAACAUCCUCUUAUUGCACUCCAGAAUACAUGCAGCCCUGUUAUCAGCACAAUUUCUCAACCCAUACAAUUGUUUCACUGCUGUGUCCAGUUUGAGAAACAGACAGUGUAGUCGCUGGCAAAGUUGUUGUGUGAAGGGGUGAAGAUGUGUUUUUGUGUUCAGAAAAUCAACCGUGCUUAAUUUAUGGCUGUAAGUUGGUUUGUGAUCCUAUAAAAAGUGUGUUGUGAGAAAGUGCA